rnacentral:lncRNA from 1 species
CCAAGGUCGAGGGCUGCGGAGUCCCAGGGCCCAUGAGUCCGGCCGGAGUCUGGUGUGGACACUCUGAACACACGCAGAGGCCUUGUGGCACUCACCUCAGUUACAGCCGACCACGCAGGAAUCUAGAGAGAAAGACAGGCAGGGGGUCGCUUCCUCCCCAGGAUGCUGAGGCUUCCCCAGUGUACACGGAGUGCCCCGGCUCAGUGUCAGCUGCAGCCCUUCAUCCCCAUGGGAAAUGAACGUCCGGAGAAAAGCAGGAAAAUGUGCUCAUUACCAAGGAAAUGGGAGGGGCCCCGAGUCAGAAGCUGAGAGCACUCGGGGAGGCAGGAUGGUGGCAGUGAGUGGGUGAGCCCCAAGUGCAUCUCCAGGCCGGUGAGAGUCCCCCCCAGAUGCUGCUUCCUCCGCUCUGGCUGACGGAGGUCAGAGGGGUCAGAUGCUGGCCUUGGACAGCUUCUCUGCAGGGCUGAUGAAAACACAGCUUCCGGGAUGCCACAGAGGCCACUGGACUCUGCCAGGGCCCGGCGAGGAGAACGUGCCUUGUAAAUGACUCCAAAAUGCCAGGGAGGGACCACGGGCCCAGGAAAUGCUGUCCAUGGGACCCAGGGAUGGGCUGAGUCCUUCUUUCCCUGUGUAAUAAGUGGGGAUCAGGCGGAGGGCACAGGACCCCAGGAGGGCUGAGUGCCUGCCCUGGAGGCUGGCGGAGUUCCCAGUGGGAUCCCUGGAAGGAAAAAUCGGAGAAAGUCAUUGCUGCCCCCAGACCCAUUUCUGACUCUUCUUAGCUGGGUUCUUCCAAGCAGGGGUCCCAACCCCCACGGCACCAGUCCAUGGCCUGUUAGGAGCCAGGCCACGAAGCAGGAGGUGAGCGGCAGGCAUCCAUCCCUAACUCUAACCCACACCAGGGGCAGCCUCUGUGUCUUCGAGGGACACCUGGAUCCCUGUUCAGGCAAAGGGGCCUGGCUGCCUCUCCACACUCCUACUCCUCACUCAGCACGCGGCUCCAAGCGCGCCUCCUCCAAGGAGUCUUCCCUGGAUCGGGCAGGGCCAGGUCCCUUUGGGGUGCACCUGCAUCAGCACUCAGGCUCCUGGAGGCAUCCAUCUGCCCCUGUCCUGAGGCAUGGUGGAAAUGGCAGGGCAGCUUUUGCCAGCUUUCCAGUCUCCAGCCCACUGCUGGCCACAGGGGAGGCUCCAAGGUGUUUGUGGAUGAAAGCGAAUGAGUUGCCAGCAAAGUUGCAAAAUCCAAUGCAGCGUUCAUGUUUCUCCCUGGACUCCCCGGACUCUGAAGAAGGCCCUGGGUGUGUCAUCUCUGCCUCUAGCCCCAGUGCAUCAGAGCAGUGCCCCAUGGUUGACAGUGCUGAGCUGCGUGGACCUCCUUAGGGCCAAAGGCUGGGGUGCAAGGGCUGGCAAGCUCAGCUGGAUGCUUGGGGACACUUGGUCUCUGGGCAUCUCCAAGAAACAUACAUUUAAUACCUGGGUGCAGACAAGGCUGUUGAGAAUCUUGUGCCCCUAGGAUUUGGGCUGGGGCCUUGAUGUAAAGCGAGGGAGGGAAAAAGUCACCUGACACCCAGUGUGAGCCCUCUGGCUGUGACACUCACUCUUCCCAGAAAACGCUGUUCCUCCGUUUCCCCGCUUCACAGGUGUCCACCGCCCCUCCCUUGUCUGCAGGGAGCGCAGUCUCAAGGUAAAGUGAGCACACCUGUGUCUGAUCGUGGUCACAUUGGCUGCUUUCUGUGUGACCUUGAACACAGAACACCACCUUCCUGAACCUCUGUAUUCUCACUUUCAGGACAAAAAUAUCGCUCUCAUAAGAGGGUUUAUGAAGGCGAGGGUUGCAGGAAAAUGCUUCCUCUAUGUUUUAGUUAAGUCUCUGGGGUUCUUUGGGCCUGUUAUUUUCUGGUUUGGUUCUCACACAGUGAAAUUCUACACAUGGUCUUGAAGCUUCCAGCUGUCUCAUUAGCAAUGCUAGCUGGGGACCUUUCACAGGUGCAAGAGGGAACUUCGUUCUGAGAGGCUAUUUGCAGGAAACUAUUAGCUAAAUGCUAAAACCAUUCACAAGAAUAAAACACUAACAGUGGGUCCAGAUGGAGAAGCUCAUGUGGAUAGUUGCACCUGUAACCAGACACAGCUGGGCUUCAGUGGUUUGCUUCGGGGCACAGUGACCUACAGGAAGGUAGGGACUGCUGUAUGUGUGCAUUUUGCUGCUGUAUCCACAGAGUCUAGAAUGGUGCACUACCUGAUCACCAUGCCAUGAAUAUUUGUUGGUAAAUAAAUGGAUGGACAAUGGAUAAUGAAAGGGUGGAUGGUGGAUGAAUAGAUAGUGAAUGGGGGAUAAUGGAAGGGUGGAUGGUGGAUGGAUAGUGAAUGGGGGAUAAUGGAAGGGUGGAUGGGUGAGAGAUUGGGGAUGAGGGUAGAUGGAUAGUGGGUGGAUGAUUGUGGGUGGAUAGAUGAAUAGAAGGAUGGAUAAAUAGUGGAUGAUGGACGGAUUUAUGGAUGAAUGAAUGAGCGGUGGAUGGAUUAUGGAUAGAUGAAUGGGGAAGCAGAGAGGUGGAUGAAUGGCUGGAUGAAUAGGUAAAUAAUGGAUGGAAGAAUGGAUGGAUGGAAGAUGGGGGAUGUAAGUCAAUGAAUGAUAGAUGGAUGAAGGUGUGGAUAGAUGGAUGGAUGGGUGGAAGAUAGACAGUGGGUGGUGAAUUGGGUGUGAAUGGAUGACAAGUGGACUCAUGAUGGUAAGAGGGGUAUGUAUGGCUGGAUAGAUGAAUGGACUGAUUAUGGUUGGAUUAUGGUGAAUAAAUGGAUGGUGUAUGGUUGAAUGGAAGGAUGAAUGAUGGAUGCAUAUGUGGGUUGAUAGAUAAAUUAAUGGAUGAAUGGGUGGAUAGAUGGUGGAUGGGUGGAUGUAUGCAUGGAUGGUAGAUGAAUGAAUACUGGUUGGGGAAUGGGUGAAAGAUGGAUGAUGGAGUGGAUGAAUAAAUCGUGGGUGAAUGGGGGUGUGAAUAGAUGAAGAGGUGGCCAAAUGGCUAGAUGGAUGGGUGGAAGAUAAAUGGUGGAUGGAUGGUGGAUGAAUUGAUGGUGGUGAAGGGGGAAUGAAUGGUAGAUGAAUGAAUGGAGGAUAGAUGAUAAAUGCAUGUAUAUAUCCAUAAAUGGAUGAAUGAAUAAAUAAUGGAAUAAAUGGAUGAAUGGAUGGAUUGGUGGGUGGUGGGUGAAUGAAUGGUGGAUAGAUUGAUGGAUGAAUAGGUGGGAGGAUGGGUGAAUGAUUGCAUGGGUGAAUGGAUGGAUGGAUGGUUGGUUGGGUGGAUAAAUGGGUGUGUGUAUGGAUUGAUAGAUGGGUAGAUGGAUGGAGGAAUGGAUGGAUGGGUGGAUGAAUGAUUAAAUGGAAUGAAUGGCUGGAUGGAUGAAUGGAUGGAUGCAGGGGUGAAUGAGUGGGUGAUUGAGUAGACAGAUGGACAGGUGAAUGGGUGGGUGGAUGGAUGGUGGAUGGAUAGAUGAAUGAAUAGAUGGAAGGGUGGGUGAAUGGGUGAAUGGAUGGGUGGGUGAGUGGGUGGCAGGUGAAUGAAUAGUGGAUAGAUUGAUGGAUGAAUAGGUGGGAGGAUGGGUGAAUGAUUGCAUGGGUGAAUGGAUGGAUGGAUGGUUGGUUGGGUGGAUAAAUGGGUGUGUGCAUGGAUUGAUAGAUGGGUAGAUGGAUGGAGGAAUGGAUGGAUGGGUGGAUGAAUGAUUAAAUGGAAUGAAUGGCUGGAUGGAUGAAUGGAUGGAUGCAGGGGUGAAUGAGUGGGUGAUUGAGUAGACAGAUGGACAGGUGAAUGGGUGGGUGGAUGGAUGGUGGAUGGAUAGAUGAAUGAAUAAAUGGAAGGGUGGGUGAAUGGGUGAAUGGAUGGGUGGGUGAGUGGGUGGCAGGUGAAUGAAUAGUGGAUAGAUUGAUGGAUGAAUAGGUGGGAGGAUGGGUGAAUGAUUGCAUGGGUGAAUGGAUGGAUGGAUGGAUGGAUGGAUGGUUGGGUGGAUAAAUGGGUGUGUGUUUUGAUAGAUAGAUGGGUGGAGGAAUGGAUGGAUGGGUGGAUGAAUGAUUAAAUGGAAUGAAUGGAUGGAUGGAUGAAUGGAUGGAUGCAGGUGUGAAUGAGUGGGUGAUUGAGUGGAUGGAUGGACAGGUGAAUGGGUGGGUGGAUGGAUGGUGGAUGGAUAGAUGAAUGAAUAGAUGGAAGGGUGGGUGGAUGGGUGAGUGGAUGGGUGGGUGGGUGGUAGAUGAAAAGCCCACAGAAUGAAACUUUGACUCUUAGAACAUCUCCUAUUAAUUAGCUGCCACAGGUAAUAAAGGUUUGUAACACCAAAGGCACUAAAAUUACCAUCCUUAUGUUAGGCAAAGAGGUCUUUCACAGCAUACAUGCGUAAUCUCCUACCAGACUUUAUUGUUUUACAGGAAAAACAAUAAACCCAUGGCUGCUGGACUUCUCACCUUACAGAAGUGCCUGUGAGAGAUUGUGGUGAGGUGCUUGGGGCAGGAAGGUCCUGGGCUGAGCCCAGAGCCUGAGCAAGCCCUCCGUGUGUGGCGUUCUUCAGCACAUGAUCCAGUUAAAAAGGGACCUGCUGACUGAAACUGUUAGAAGCCGGAAAGGUGGACUCCAAAGUGGCUGCAGCCUGGUGAAGAAGAGUGGCCAGUGACCUCCUUUCCAUCAGCCCAGGGCCUGGAUGGCAGCGAGAGCCUGAGAAGCUCCCUCGCUCACCCCACGUGUCCCCACCAGGCACUCACCUUACAUUCAUUUUUAACAUAAAGUUACCCUGGAAACGCUGGAUCCAGAAUGGU